GGUGGCUUAGUGAUAAGAGUACUUGCCUUGCAUGCAUGAGGCCCUGGGUUCGAUUCCUCAGCACCA
rfam:Dipodomys ordii contig_19157, whole genome shotgun sequence.